rnacentral:lncRNA from 1 species
AGGAACGUGAAGUGAGGCGGCCAUCUCUGUCGGCGCCGGAAGUAUUAAGGAGGUCCAUUGGGAGGUGGCUGCUGAGUUUGCUGCAUUGUGUGUUUGUUUGUUUGAGAGCGGUCCAGGAAUCUCCUAGAUGGAAUCCUGACAAUGGACAAGCAUUUACACAUGAAAGGAAAGGAUGGAGAGAAGGAGCGAGAAGGAGGGAGAGAAGGAGCAGAGGGAGGUGGAGAGUGCUCUACCAUUCCUCUCUGUUACCAUGGGGAUCAACUUGAUGCCACUCCAGGCUUGCCAUUGGCUGGAGAGGGUUCCAUUUGAUUUUGACUUUCCACGCUUUCUAAGGGAAGGAUGGACAGACUACUUCAACUCUCUCAGACGUGACAACCUCAUGAAGCUGGUUGAGAGAAUGCCAAGAGUGUGUAAAGCUGUCAUCAAGGCGAAGGGUGGCUACUUUGAA